CCGACAGCAACAAAAGGAAGGUUAAUGUGACGUGAUGUAAACCAAUGAAGCAGAAGCUCGUAGCAAAGGGUUUUAUUUAAAAUCAAUUCUAUCAAAAGCUGACGGACGGGAUCACAGACCUCGUCACUUCAGUCCCUUCACACUCCACUAGUCAGCCGGACCCCGGGAGGAUAAGAAGUUAUAAACUAUUGCAUAAUCUGAAGUCAUGCCAGUCGGCAACCAGUCGGCAACCGUAUUAAUAAUCAAUAUUAAUAAGACAUAUUAAUUAAUAAACCAUAUUAAUAAUCAAUAUUAACAAUUCAUAUGCCACUUGGUGACUCAAACGUUCGUCUUCUCUGGUCAGUCCAGCAGUUUGCCAUCAGGGCAAACCAAUAAUUCAAAAUAUGGAUUAUUACAACAAUUAUGUGUAUAUUAAUUAUGUGCCUGUUCCUCAUAUUGAAAGGAUGAAGUGAGAUGUCUGUCUGUCUUUCUCCAUGUCUGUCCGACUUAAUGUCUGUCUGACUGUAUGCCUGUUAGCUGGCUAACUGUCAUUAGCCUGCUAGCUGGCUAACUGUCAUUAGCCUGCAUGCUGGCUAGCUUUCAUUAGCCUGCUAGCUGGCUAGCUGUCAUUAGCCUGCUAGCUGGCUAGCUGUCAUUAGCCUGCUAUCUGGCAAGCUGUCAUUAGCCUGCUAGCUGGCAAGCUGUCAUUAGCCUGUUAGCUGGCUUGCUGUGUCCCCAGUGUCUGUACCUACCUGUAGCUGUGCGAGGUGGUGCUAGGUGAUUUGGCGGCGCUAGGUGGUGUAGUGGUGGUGCUAGGUUAUUUAGCUGUGCUAGGUGGUGUAUCGCUGGGGCUAGGUGGUGUAGCUGUGGUGCUAGGUGGUGUAGUGCUGGGGCUAGGUGGUGUAGUGGUGGUGCUAGGUGGUGUAGUGCUGGGGCUGGUGGUCUAGCGGUGCUAGGUGGUGUAGCGCUGGUGCUAGGUGGUGUAGCGAGGCUAGGUGGUGUAGACGUGCUAGGUGGUGUAGUGGUGGUACUAGGUGGUGUAGCGCUUGGGCUAGGUGAUGUAGCACUGGUGCUAGGUGGUGUAGUGCUGGUACUAGCAGUGCUAGGUGAUGUAGCCAUACUAGGUGGUGUAGCGCUGAUGCUAGGUGAUGUAGCGAUGCUAGGUGGUGUAACAGUGGUGCUAGGUGGUGUAGCGAUGCUAGGUGGUGUAGCACUGGGGCUAGGUGGUGUAGCGCAGGGGCGGUGGAGCAGGAGGGGUUUGGGGGGCAGCGGGGGCUUCAGGGACCCCGUCCUCCACAGGGCGGCGGCCCGCGGGCCCCGGGGCCCGUCGCUGUAGCUGUGCUGCCGCGUCAGGCUAGCGCUAGCCGCUAGCCCGGUAGUGCUGCCGUGUACCGCGUCGCUGCUAGCCUGGGCGGUGGCGGCGGGGCUAGCGUGGCGCGGCGGCGGCGGGGCUAGCACUAGCCGAUAGCCCGCUAGUGCUGGCGUGCGCUGCCGCGGCGCUAGCGUUGGCGGCGCGCUAGCUGGCGUGGCGGCGGCAGCGCUCGAGGGGCCGUUGCUGCUACUGUUGGUGUUCAUGCGCGCCAGGAAGUGGGCGGGUCUUGGCACGGCCCCUCCCCCGUCGCCGCCCGUCUUGAUGAGGGCGUGUCUCUGGGAGUGGCGGGUGGUCACCGUGACGCCCGCCGCGGCCGGCACCGGCGGCUCCGCCGUCCUGUUGCUAUGGUGAUGGCUGCUCAGGUUGUAGUGGUGGGAGCGCGUGUUGGGGCUGAUCUCCGGCUGGUUGCCAUGGUGAAGGUGGGUGUGCCCCGGGUAGAGGAGGGAGGAGGAGGAGGGGGAGGAGGAGGAGCAGGAGGAGGUGAGGACCUUGAUGCCCCCCUGGCCAGAGGCGCUCACCUCCUGGAUGUGUUUGAG
ensembl:lncRNA